rnacentral:rRNA from 1 species
GCCCUUAGAGUUUGAUCCUGGCUCAGGACGAACGCUGGCGGCGUGCCUAAUACAUGCAAGUCGAACGAAGCUUUCUUUCACCGAAUGCUUGCAUUCGCCGAAAGAAGCUUAGUGGCGAACGGGUGAGUAACACGUAGGCAACCUGCCCAAAAGAGGGGGAUAACACUUGGAUACAGGUGCUAAUACCGCAUAACCAUGAACACCGCAUGAUGUUCAUGUAAAAGACGGCUUUUGCUGUCACUUUUGGAUGGGCCUGCGGCGUAUUAACUUGUUGGUGGGGUAACGGCCUACCAAGGUGAUGAUACGUAGCCGAACUGAGAGGUUGAUCGGCCACAUUGGGACUGAGACACGGCCCAAACUCCUACGGGAGGCAGCAGUAGGGAAUCUUCCACAAUGGACGAAAGUCUGAUGGAGCAACGCCGCGUGAAUGAAGAAGGCCUUCGGGUCGUAAAAUUCUGUUGUCAGAGAAGAACGUGCGUGAGAGUAACUGUUCACGUAUUGACGGUAUCUGACCAGAAAGCCACGGCUAACUACGUGCCAGCAGCCGCGGUAAUACGUAGGUGGCGAGCGUUGUCCGGAUUUAUUGGGCGUAAAGGGAACGCAGGCGGUCUUUUAAGUCUGAUGUGAAAGCCUUCGGCUUAACCGAAGUAGUGCAUUGGAAACUGGAAGACUUGAGUGCAGAAGAGGAGAGUGGAACUCCAUGUGUAGCGGUGAAAUGCGUAGAUAUAUGGAAGAACACCAGUGGCGAAAGCGGCUCUCUGGUCUGUAACUGACGCUGAGGUUCGAAAGCGUGGGUAGCAAACAGGAUUAGAUACCCUGGUAGUCCACGCCGUAAACGAUGAGUGCUAAGUGUUGGAGGGUUUCCGCCCUUCAGUGCUGCAGCUAACGCAUUAAGCACUCCGCCUGGGGAGUACGGUCGCAAGACUGAAACUCAAAUGAAUUGACGGAAGGGCGAAUU